rnacentral:rRNA from 1 species
UACGGAGGAUCCAAGCGUUAUCCGGAUUUACUGGGCGUAAAGAGCUCGUAGGCGGUUUGUCGCGUCUGCCGUGAAAGUCCGAGGCUCAACCUCGGAUCUGCGGUGGGUACGGGCAGACUAGAGUGAUGUAGGGGAGACUGGAAUUCCUGGUGUAGCGGUGAAAUGCGCAGAUAUCAGGAGGAACACCGAUGGCGAAGGCAGGUCUCUGGGCAUUUACUGACGCUGAGGAGCGAAAGCAUGGGGAGCGAACAGGAUUAGAUACCCUGGUAGUCCAUGCCGUAAACGUUGGGCACUAGGUGUGGGGGACAUUCCACGUUUUCCGCGCCGUAGCUAACGCAUUAAGUGCCCCGCCUGGGGAGUACGGCCGCAAGGCUAAA